rnacentral:rRNA from 1 species
CAAGUCGAACGGACUUAACUCAUUCUUUUAGAUUGAGAGCGGUUAGUGGCGCACUGGUGAGUAACACGUAAGCAACCUGCCUAUCAGAGGGGAAUAACAGUGAGAAAUCAUUGCUAAUACCGCAUAAGCUAGUAGUAUCGCAUGAUAUAGCUAGAAAAGGAGCAAUCCGCUGAUAGAUGGGCUUGCGUACGAUUAGAUAGUUGGUGAGGUAAAGGCUCACCAAGUCGACGAUCGUUAGAUGGUUUGAGAGGAUGAUCAUCCAGACUGGGACUGAGACACGGCCCAGACUCCUACGGGAGGCAGCAGUAGGGAAUCUUUCACAAUGGGCGAAAGCCUGAUGGAGCAACGCCGCGUGCAGGAUGAAGGCCUUCGGGUUGUAAACUGCUUUUAUAAGCGAGAAAUAUGAUGGUAACUUAUGAAUAAGGAUCGGCUAACUACGUGCCAGCAGCCGCGGUCAUACGUAGGAUCCGAGCAUUAUCCGGAGUGACUGGGUGUAAAGAGUUGCGUAGGUGGCAUAAUAAGUAGCUAGUGAAAUCUGGUGGCUCAACCAUUCAGACUAUUAGCUAAACUGUUAAGCUCGAGACCGUUAGGGGUAACUGGAAUUUCUAGUGUAGGAGUGAAAUCCGUAGAUAUUAGAAGGAACACCAAUAGCGUAGGCAGGUUACUGGGACGGUUCUGACACUAAGGCACGAAAGCGUAGGGAGCAAACGGGAUUAGAUACCCCGGUAGUCUACGCCGUAAACGAUGGAUACUAGCAGUUUUUGGUAUCGACCCCCAGAGUUGCGAAGCUAACGCGU